rnacentral:rRNA from 1 species
AGUGAACGCUGGCGGUAGGCCUAACACAUGCAAGUCGAACGGCAGCACAGUAAGAGCUUGCUCUUACGGGUGGCGAGUGGCGGACGGGUGAGGAAUACAUCGGAAUCUACUUUUUCGUGGGGGAUAACGUAGGGAAACUUACGCUAAUACCGCAUACGACCUACGGGUGAAAGCAGGGGAUCUUCGGACCUUGCGCGAUUGAAUGAGCCGAUGUCGGAUUAGCUAGUUGGCGGGGUAAAGGCCCACCAAGGCGACGAUCCGUAGCUGGUCUGAGAGGAUGAUCAGCCACACUGGAACUGGAACACGGUCCAGACUACUACGGGAGGCAGCAGUGGGGAAUAUUGGACAAAGGGCGCAAGCCUGAUCCAGCCAUACCGCGUGGGUGAAGAAGGCCUUCGGGUUGUAAAGACCUUUUGUUGGGAAAGAAAAGCAGCAGGUUAAUACCCCGCUGUUCUGACGGUACCCAAAGAAUAAGCACCGGCUAACUUCGUG